CUUCUCAUCAAAUUUUCUUGAGUCAGACAUGCUUCAUGUGCUACUAGCCAACCAAAACAUGCCACUUUUGUUGGUACUGUAGUCUUCCAAAUCAUCUUCCAAGGCCACUUUUGUGCUUGCACCAGCUGGGUAACAUUUUGGCUUCAGGAUUUGAGAGUGUGCCUCUUUGCCUAGAGUACAGUUGUACUGCUGUUCUAACAGCUUAUAUGCUAUAGCUAAACAUUUAAUGCUAGAGGUAAUUUUAGAAAGCUUUGAGUCAAAAAAGUUCUCAAAUUGCGUUGCGAUCUUUCUCAAUUUUGAAUGAGAUUUAAAGAUAAGAAAACCAAAACAGGAUAUUCAAUUUCAAAGUUCUGUUUCAAAAAAAAAAAAAAUCAACUCCAAAGUCUUGGGUAAUUUUUUGUUGCUAGCAGGAGGAAGUACAUUGUGAUAUAAAAAGGAAAGAGUGGUGAAAUUUCAUAUUAUCAAGAAAGUUGGCCAAAGCAUGUAAAAGCACACAAGAACCUAC
rnacentral:lncRNA from 1 species